GGGAAUAUAGUGCAGUAGUUAGCAUAUCUGAUUGUGGCUCAGAUGACCUGGGUGCAAAUCCCGGUAUUCCUA
rnacentral:tRNA from 1 species